rnacentral:sRNA from 1 species
GCUGGGCAUGGUGACGCAUGCCUGUAAUCCCAGCUACUUGGGAGGCCGAGGCAGGAGAAUCGCUUGAACCUGGGAGGUGGAGGUUGCAGUGAGCUGAGAUGGCACCAUUGCACUCCAGCCUGGGUGACAGGGCGAGACUCUGUCUCAA